AACGAACGCUGGCGGCAGGCUUAACACAUGCAAGUCGAGCGCCCCGCAAGGGGAGCGGCAGACGGGUGAGUAACGCGUGGGAAUCUACCGUACCCUACGGAAUAGCUCCGGGAAACUGGAAUUAAUACCGUAUACGCCCUACGGGGGAAAGAUUUAUCGGGGUAUGAUGAGCCCGCGUUGGAUUAGCUAGUUGGUGGGGUAAAGGCCUACCAAGGCGACGAUCCAUAGCUGGUCUGAGAGGAUGAUCAGCCACAUUGGGACUGAGACACGGCCCAAACUCCUACGGGAGGCAGCAGUGGGGAAUAUUGGACAAUGGGCGCAAGCCUGAUCCAGCCAUGCCGCGUGAGUGAUGAAGGUCUUAGGAUUGUAAAGCUCUUUCACCGAUGAAGAUAAUGACGGUAGUCGGAGAAGAAGCCCCGGCUAACUUCGUGCCAGCCGCCGCGGUAACAC
rnacentral:rRNA from 1 species